CAUGGCGGGUGGGUGAAAGACCCGAGCUAACAUGGGGUUAGCUCGUAAAACUACAAUAAAGCCUCAUGCAGUUUGCAUCAAGCUUUCGCCUCCAUUCUGUGUUUGGGGUGGCCGCCGUCCUGGGCUAAGAUUCUGGAAGCCUCAGCUUUCUGAGGGUCUAACAACAGGGCCCAUGUGGAGGCUGAAUGUGACUGCAGGCUGAUGUAACAACUUGCCUGAGAAGUGAUCAGAUUUGGAACUGAAUUGUGGCCAAGAGGGUCCCUCUUCCGAGAUGAUCUUAGCUUGUGUGCAGUUGACAAGAAAAACAAAAACUAACAAGCACAAUUUGCAUGGCUAUGUAUGUAUGGAAGAGGAAAAGAGCAAAAGCUGGCUAGCCUGUCCUACAGAGAGAGUUCCAGGACAGGGUCCAAAGCUACGCAGAGAAACCUUGUCUCGAAAAACCAAAAAACCAAACAAACACAUAUCUAGGUUUCUGCCCAAAGAAAUGAAAGAAAAUCAAAGUUAAUAGAAAGAAAUAGAAUCAGAAUGCAAAUCAAUAAGAUAGAAAACAAAAACACAAAGAGAAAAUCAACAUAAUCAAAGUUGAUUUUUGGAACGAAGCAACUAGAGAAGCCUCUGCUACACUGAUGGAGAUGAGAGAAGACGGAAGUUACGUAGUGAAUGAAAGAGGAAGCUGGAUGUCCCAAGUCAACCUAAGGGUUUCCCAAAGCACAGAUAGAUACACUGGAUGUACACAUGGUGGAAUGCAUUCAGCCCUAGACAAAAGGGAAAUCCUGUCACUUUUGACAACAGAGAUAAAUGUGA
rnacentral:lncRNA from 1 species